rnacentral:lncRNA from 1 species
GACUCGACCAGAUUCUUGUAACUAAAAUCGGACAUAUCUUAUUUAUCCUAACCAGACUCCUACAGGCUCAGAAGCAAUCAGCCCUUGUUUUAUUCAUAUUGAGGUCUAGUUCUUUUUUCAGGGUCAUUGAUGUUGGGUUUGGUGCAUAGAAAAAUUUAGGUUGAGCUUCUUGUAACAUCCUACCCCUAGCAAUGCUCUUGUCAUUGCGCUAUGAGUUUUACCAGUACAAUCAGUUCCUUGUAAA